GGGGAAUAUUGGACAAUGGGCGCAAGCCUGAUCCAGCCAUGCCGCGUGAGUGAUGAAGGCCCUAGGGUUGUAAAGCUCUUUCAACGGUGAAGAUAAUGACGGUAACCGUAGAAGAAGCCCCGGCUAACUUCGUGCCAGCAGCCGCGGUAAUACGAAGGGGGCUAGCGUUGUUCGGAAUUACUGGGCGUAAAGCGCACGUAGGCGGAUUGGUCAGUUAGGGGUGAAAUCCCAGGGCUCAACCCUGGAACUGCCUUUAAUACUGCCGGUCUAGAGUUCGAGAGAGGUGAGUGGAAUUCCGAGUGUAGAGGUGAAAUUCGUAGAUAUUCGGAGGAACACCAGUGGCGAAGGCGGCUCACUGGCUCGAGACUGACGCUGAGGUGCGAAAGCGUGGGGAGCAAAC
rnacentral:rRNA from 1 species